rnacentral:lncRNA from 1 species
CGAAGGUGGAAGAGACCCGGCGAUGUAUUGGCAGAGGCCACACAUGGAGGGUUCACAAUUCGAGUUUAUUCCCCAAGGAUCAGAAUGCAAUGGAGAUGUCACCAAGAGGCGACAUGGUGCAGCAGAUCGUGGUGGAACAGUUCGUGGCAAUGCGAUACACACAACCUGGUCCCGUGAGGGAUGAGAUCAUAUGGAGGUAUGAUCGGGAGCUACUGGGAGCUCCACUUCGGUGAACAACACGACGGCAAGAAGGGCUAUGGAUUCAAGGAGUGAAGGCCAUGGUACCGUAGAGGCGAGUCUUCCGUGCGUGCAUCGAAUUUUGCAUCGGAUGAAAACCUUGGUCAUCAGCAUAUGGGGGCUGGGUUCCACCAAGGGAAAAGUUCGAAUGCAAGUACCAGGGAGUUCCAUGGGAGGAACUUGAUCAUGCAGAGGUAUGAUCGAAGCAACUGGAGAGUUGGACUGCUCCAGAGCUCAUAUUCGCUUAAGGGAGCCCGGCAAGUUAGAGGACAAGGUCGAGUAAGCGAACGUUGCUACCAAGAAAGCUAAGGAGAACAGAAGUGGUGCAAACCCUACAACAUGAUGGUAGAGGCCAUGCAUGGGAGUUGCAGUCUGUCUUUCCAUCGAUCAAACAGACUGCUUGGAGAACACAGAGGUGUUGAAGUAGGGAGUCGAAAGGGGCGAGGAAGCAACGACGAGUCCAGAGGGACUUAGCUACCCAAAGUCAAGCAAUCAGUUAGAAUGGAGGUGAACUCGGAAGAGUGUCACGGAGACAUAUCUAUUGAUUGUGAAGAAAAGGGAUGCAGAUGCGAGGCGACGGAUAGUAAGGCCAUGGGCAUGGCAGCGCCAUGGUACCGCAGAGGCGGGACUUCCGUGAAAGUCAUUGAUCCCUUGCUCUCAUGGAGGGAGAGCGCUUGGUCGUGAAAGGGGCCGAGGAGGUGGAGCAUGCAGAGGCAAUCUCCAAGUACCGAGACAAGGCUGAAGGGCAGAGGCCGAGGAACUUCAUAAGACCGGUGUCAACAAGUUUCUCAUCAAGAUAGCCGUGAGUGAAGGACUUUGGGUCAUGCAAGAGUGCACGACCAAGGAACGAAGCAAGCAGUACGCGGUGCUGUACCUUUGCUACUCAGUGGAGUAGGCGGCGGGGUUGAUGGAGAAGACGAUACAAUCCCAGAGGCGACCUCAUCUAUCAGAGAAUUACUCCAAGUUGGGGUGAAAACUUCCCGCAUUCCAGAAGUUCGAUGGCAUUGAGAAGGUGAAUCACAGUAGCUAACUCAAUGCAAGGAGUGCAAACACUUCAAGUGCUUCAGAAGUGUGAGCAAAGAGUAGGCGAAGGCCAGUAACCAGCUCAAUGCAUGAAGUACAACCUCGAGGAGGCGGGCGAAGUCAAGUAACCUUUGCCUUCUCAACUCUCAAGAGAAUGGGCGAAACCGAGUACCCCAGUUCUCUUAUCUAUCCAGCAGAGGAGCUCUGCACAAGUUCAAAGACCCUUCGAAGAUAAUGGAAGACAAUAGUUGUCAAAUCCUCACCAACGGUGAUCAGUGCUACUGAGAGUAGAUUGUCCGCUUCAUUUCCCAACGAAAUGUCAAUCGAAAGCGGAAGUGAUGCGAACCUACUUGGAUGUGACAACUAACUGAAAGGAGAGUCAAUGAGCAGAUUUUGUGGAGGAAGGACCCAAACUUCAGAAGUUUGCGAGGUGAUGCUCGUUAAAGCUCCAACAAGCAUCCACCCAGUUCAAGCAGCAUGUGGAAAUUUUGAGAGA